CUCCAUCCUUGGCAGCAGCAGAGCCCAGAUGUGCAGUUCCUGGAAGGAAUCGCUCCCACAGUGUCAUCUGGCUAUCACCUCCCCUCGCCUGGUUUCUCCAGCGGAUUCAAAAGUGGCGAUGCUGUGUAUCAUGCCAGUUUCACCUACGUUCACACCAUUCUUUUGUAAACGGGAGUACCUGGUUCACUUUACACGUUUCUAAACUGAGAAGGAAGAAAUCACAGCAUCCAGACUUCCAUUAGAGGGUCACUUCUCCCCUGCUGUGCGCGGUCUUGGUGACCCUAUAAAUCAAGGUGCCCCACCCUCUUCUUCUAAGGGCUGGGCACACGACUAAAUUCCAGCUGCUUUAGCUCCAUUCUCUCUCCCUCUCCUUCCCUCCUUCUCCUUCUUUUUCUCUCUCUUUCCUUCUUCUAAGACUUUGAGUCUUGAGAAAACGACGAAAGAACAAGGAAAACAGCUGGAAUGCAUGUUCACUGGCUGUGCCCUCCAAGACUGGGGAGAAGUUCCUGGUGCUUAAACCCUCAGGACACUGAGGCUGGGGAACACCACUUUAGCAGAGUGAGGUAAGAAAACUCAGUUGGAAUUCUAUUCCGUGACCCUUGCUACCAGUGAGAAGCAGGCCCAGGAUCUAGAGCAGGGGGAAAGAAUACCUCACCUUAAGAAAUUAUUGCAAGAAUUAAAAUAGAGUAAAAGGGGUGAACCAGCAACAGUUUAUCUUAUAAC
rnacentral:lncRNA from 1 species